GCGGAGGAAAAGAAACCAACAGGGAUUGCCCUAGUAACGGCGAGUGAAGCGGCAACAGCUCAAAUUUGAAAUCUGGCUCUAUUUUGGAGUCCGAGUUGUAAUUUGUAGAGGGCGCUUUGGCGUCGGCAGCGGUCUAAGUUCCUUGGAACAGGACGUCACAGAGGGUGAGAAUCCCGUAUGUGGUCGCGUGCCUUCGCCGUGUAAAGCCCCUUCGACGAGUCGAGUUGUUUGGGAAUGCAGCUCUAAAUGGGAGGUAAAUUUCUUCUAAAGCUAAAUACUGGCCAGAGACCGAUAGCGCACAAGUAGAGUGAUCGAAAGAUGAAAAGCACUUUGGAAAGAGAGUCAAAAAGCACGUGAAAUUGUUGAAAGGGAAGCGCUUGCAGCCAGACUUGCCUGCGGUUGCUCAUCCGGGCUCUCGCCCGGUGCACUCUUCCGUAGGCAGGCCAGCAUCAGUUUGGGCGGCUGGAUAAAGGCCUCUGUCAUGUACCUUCCCUCGGGAAGGCCUUAUAGGGGAGGCGUAAUGCAGCCAGCCUGGACUGAGGUCCGCGCAUUUGCUAGGAUGCUGGCGUAAUGGCUGUAAGCGGCCCGUCUUGAAACACGGACCAAGGAGUCUAACAUCUAUGCGAGUGUUUGGGUGUCAAGCCCGGGCGCGCAAUGAAAGUGAACGGAGGUGGGAACCCUUUGCGGGGUGCACCAUCGACCGAUCCUGAUGUCUUCGGAUGGAUUUGAGUAAGAGCAUAGCUGUUGGGACCCGAAAGAUGGUGAACUAUGCUUGAAUAGGGUGAAGCCAGAGGAAACUCUGGUGGAGGCUCGCAGCGGUUCUGACGUGCAAAUCGAUCGU
rnacentral:sRNA from 1 species